GUUUAUUAUAUGGACGUGGUGACAGUGGAAAGACACCAUGCUCUUCUGAUUUUCAAACGAACCUUCUGAGCCAUUUUAACAUUAGAGUCUAUGGAAGAGUUGGAGGGAGGAGGCUGUGCAUUGGUGACAUUUAUGAAAGAACCAUAACACUUAGUACAAUAGUAAACACAUUGGAUGAAAGAGGACAGCGAUGGCUACGUUUUGAGGGUAAAAUCAUACCUGUAGAGCAAACGCUGCGGACACAGCAGCAGUUUUAAAAAAGAUUUUAAGAUUAAUUUUUUUGCUCCUCUCACUCUAGCAGUUGAGCUGUCUCACUCUAGCCCCAACAUUCCGUCCCAUACACACCCAUUAUAAAUUUUGAAACGGGUGAAAAAACAUCAUGAAACUUAAACUGGAACUGAAGAAAAAGUAUAAUAGAUAUUGAAAAGAUAAAUACAAGUUGAAUAGUUGAAUGUCUUGUCUUCGUUUUAAAGUUUGAAUGGUGGCUCUAUGUCAAUGUAUGUGGAAGUAGAUACAGUUUAAAGAGGAGGAAGUUGAAUGAGAAUUUGAAGGGUCUCCCCAUUGAAAUACAUGGGAAAUUUUUAUAAAUACAAGUUGAAUAGUUGAAUGUCUUGUCUUCGUUUUAAAGUUUGAAUGGUGGCUCUAUGUCAAUGUAUGUGGAAGUAAUACAGUUUAAAGAGGAGGAAGUUGAAUGAGAAUUUGAAGGGUCUCCCCAUUGAAAUACAUUAUAAAUUUUUGUUGAAAAAAGUUGAAUAAAAUUAAAAAUAUAAAUGUUAAAAAUGAGAAAAAUAGAAGCAAUGUUGUCCAAAAUAAUAGGAAUCUAACGGUGUUUGAAUGGUUUUUCUAAGUUGAACGGUUUUGAAGGAGUAGGCUUUCAAAAAACGUACGGAAAAAUAAAAUAUAACUAGAAAGUGCAUUUUCUGAAGAAACUGCAGUGUGAAUGCUUGAAUCUGAAUGUAUGCACUGAAAUGAAUUAAUUGCUGAAUUUUGAGUUAAAAAUUUUGAAUGAGAUAAAAAAAAAAAAAAACAAAUUUAACCUGAAAACAAAAGUGCUGAACUGCUAAAAGCUGAAGGUUACACAGAAGAAGAAGUUGGAAAAAAGCUGAAAAUGUUUUAAUUGUAAAUUAGAAAAAC
ensembl:lncRNA